GACGGAGGAUGCAAGCGUUAUCCGGAAUUAUUGGGCGUAAAGCGUCCGCAGGUGGCUGUUCAAGUCUGCUGUCAAAGCGCAGAGCUUAACUCUGUACAGGCGGUGGAAACUGAAGAGCUAGAGUAUGGUAGGGGUAGAGGGAAUUCCCGGUGUAGCGAUGAAAUGCGUAGAUAUCGGGAAGAACACCAGUGGCGAAGGCGUCUACUGGGCCAUAACUGACACUGAGGGACGAAAGCUAGGGGAGCGAAAGGG
rnacentral:rRNA from 1 species